rnacentral:tRNA from 1 species
UAGCUCAGCGGUAUAAGCACCUGCCUUGCAAGCAGGCGGUCGUGAGUUCAAUCCCCAC